GGGCGUGUGGUCUAGUGGUAUGAUUCUCGCUUUGGGCGACUUCCUGCCUAAACAGGAAGACAAAGCAUGCGAAAGGCCCUGGGUUCAAUUCCCAGCUCGCCCC
rnacentral:tRNA from 1 species